AGUGAACGCUGGCGGUAGGCCUAACACAUGCGAGUCGAACGGCAGCACAGUAAGAGCUUGCUCUUACGGGUGGCGAGUGGCGGACGGGUGAGGAAUACAUCGGAAUCUACUUUUUCGUGGGGGAUAACGUAGGGAAACUUACGCUAAUACCGCAUACGACCUACGGGUGAAAGCAGUGGAUCUUCGGACCUUUCGCGAUUGAAUGAGCCGAUGUCGGAUUAGCUAGUUGGCGGGGUAAAGGCCCACCAAGGCGACGAUCCGUAGCUGGUCUGAGAGGAUGAUCAGCCACACUGGAACUGAGACACGGCCCAGACUCCUACGGGAGGCAGCAGUGGGGAAUCUUGGACAAUGGGCGCAAGCCUGAUCCAGCCAUACCGCGUGGGUGAAGAAGGCCUUCGGGUUGUAAAGCCCUUUUGUUGGGAAAGAAAAGCAGCAGGUUAAUACCCCGCUGUUCUGACGGUACCCAAAGAAUAAGCACCGGCUAACUUCGUG
rnacentral:rRNA from 1 species